rnacentral:rRNA from 1 species
GGCGCACCUAGACGGCGGCCCCGAAGCCUAGCCGCAACAGCAGACUCGGGGCUCAAAAGCUGCGGCUCACCGAUCCGGUAGUUAUUGCCUUGACGACGCGUCUGCUGUUGUCAUACGUGCUGUCUACUUGCUACGCCCUAGUUUGCCAGACGACCUGAGACGAUGUACGUACCUGCCUGUCCCUAGACAACAGCACGUACUUAGCACGCGUGUAGUAGCACACACAUCGUGACGAGAUAACGAAAUAGGUAACCCGUUAGACGUCGUCAUAUAGAUGAACCGUUACUGUUUGUAUAUGACUAGCUACUAUAUGUGAACAUCUAAUACCACUUAACAUGAAUAGGCGCGAAUAGAAAACCAGACUUGUCUCGAACCGCUAGGUCUCCCACGACCAGAGACAGCCACCUGUAAGCUACUGUUUACUUUUUUUGUCUCCGUUGGUUAAGUCGCUCCGGCGGGUGGGUCGUUUUGCGUGGUUUCUUGGUUAAGAAAGAAAUGGUCUCUUCUUCUUCCGCUCCGGGUUAGAGUCGGCGGCAGGCAGGAAUGGACGGAUGCAGGCCGCCCGGCUACCCCCCGGGCUGGACUCCGCUGUACCGGGAGGGUUCUCUCUUCGUCCGCAGCCCCGACACGUCCGGCAGGUACCGCUACCUCUGCGGGCCCGUCCUUCCCGAGUUAGGCCUACUUGGUCGGGCGUGGCUCGGGCCGGCGGAGUUCUCCUCGAGCAGAGAGACGGACGGACGCCGAGUGGCCUCGACGGUAGCGGCCGCUGGCGGAGGGAGUGGAACACGGGGAAGAGGAAGCGGAAACAAGGAGAGAAGGGGCUCCUCGUCCCUCGGCCGCUUAGGCAGCCAGUCCUCGACCCGCCGCGCGGCCGCGGGAGGUAGUAGCGCCGGCAAACCCUUCCCUGCGCCAGGACCAGCUACGCCACACACCGUCCGCUGCGUCCCGUCCUCCACCGCCACCCUACUUCCAUGUACGCUACCCCGUGGCCGUUUGUCUCCGCCUGCUACCUCCACGACGUCCUCGCCGCGAGCUGACGCUCCACUCCUCCUCCUCGUCUCCUUCCCCUCCGACCUCCACUAGGAGCGACUGCUACCACCCUGCGUCCGCACUCGUCCUCCUACUCUCCUUUGCCCUGUCGCCGGACGACCACCGACGGCCACUGCGGCCCACCGCUCCCCAGCAGCCUCGCCGCAGCACGUGCGGCCGCGGUUCGCCGCCGCUCACCGGCAGCCACCUCAGAACCUUACCUAUUCCUUAUAUUCCCGACUGACGUCUGACGCCCGAUUUAAAAUUGAUUACGUCCCCGAGAAAACGUUGUUACUUUGCAAAAAAUCCUUGAGUGAACUAUUUCCUGACGCUCAACUUAAGUUGUUUGUUAUCCCCGAAAAAACUUUUGUACUGUUACUGCCUGCUGUUUUUGGAUUAAGAGAAAUAAUAAACCAUUUCUAUUUCUACUAGCAAAUCAAGACCAACGUCGGCAACUAUUACGCAGAUGCAUAAAAGAAAUGAUACCCAAUUAACAAUAUUGGGUAUCCAAUGAUCCUAAACACGAAAUUUACUAAAAGAAUGGGAAAACACGUUUACUCCGUGUUCUAGCUAGUGUAAAUACGUCUCAUAGGGCCGGGGCUUAAAAUGACCGUUCGUUGUGGUUAAACCUAAUAGGUCUAUUCGGUUGGUAUACAAACUAAUCCUUUGUCGCUUGGUCACAACAUAUAAAGAAGAAAAGGGGACUACUGGUACAAGCAAGAAGACCUGUCAACCUGUGCCGUAUAGAUAAACGGAAGAGGAUUACAUGUUCGGUAAAUUCUAAAAUAAGCAAAAGAUGAUUACAAUGAAGUAUACUCUAGUUCCAAUACUGUUAGACGUUAAAAAAGACGAUCGUA